UGGGGAAUUUUGGACAAUGGGCGCAAGCCUGAUCCAGCCAUGCCGCGUGAGUGAAGAAGGCCUUCGGGUUGUAAAGCUCUUUCGGCGGGGACGAAACGGUCCGUGACAACACCACGGACUAAUGACGGUACUCGCAGAAGAAGCACCGGCUAACUACGUGCCAGCAGCCGCGGUAAUACGUAGGGUGCAGGCGUUAAUCGGAAUUACUGGGCGUAAAGCGUGCGCAGGCGGCUCCUUAAGUCAGAUGUGAAAUCCCCGGGCUUAACCUGGGAACUGCGUUUGAAACUGGGGAGCUAGAGUGUGGAAGAGGGGGGUGGAAUUCCAGGUGUAGCAGUGAAAUGCGUAGAUAUCUGGAGGAACACCGAUGGCGAAGGCAGCCCCCUGGGCUAACACUGACGCUCAUGCACGAAAGCGUGGGGAGCAAACAGGAUUAGAUACCCAAGUAGUCCCUGAGCGGGCUGGCAAGGCGCAU
rnacentral:rRNA from 1 species